rnacentral:rRNA from 1 species
GAUCCUUGGCUCAGGACGAACGCUGGCGGCGUGCCUAAUACAUGCAAGUCGAGCGAACCAAUAAGAAGCUUGCUUUUUGUUGGUUAGCGGCGGACGGGUGAGUAACACGUGGGUAACCUGCCUGUAAGACCGGGAUAACUCCGGGAAACCGGUGCUAAUACCGGAUAGAUUAUCUUUCCGCCUGGAGAGAUAAGGAAAGAUGGCUAUUGCCAUCACUUACAGAUGGGCCCGCGGCGCAUUAGCUAGUUGGUGAGGUAACGGCUCACCAAGGCGACGAUGCGUAGCCGACCUGAGAGGGUGAUCGGCCACACUGGGACUGAGACACGGCCCAGACUCCUACGGGAGGCAGCAGUAGGGAAUCUUCCGCAAUGGACGAAAGUCUGACGGAGCAACGCCGCGUGAGUGAAGAAGGUCUUCGGAUCGUAAAGCUCUGUUGUUAGGGAAGAACAAGUAUCGGAGGAAAUGCCSGUACCUUGACGGUACCUGACGAGAAAGCCACGGCUAACUACGUGCCAGCAGCCGCGGUAAUACGUAGGUGGGCAAGCGUUKUCCGGAUUUAUUGGGCGUAAAGCGCGCGCAGGCGGUCCUUUAAGYUGAUGUGAAAYUUGCGGUCAACCGGAAGCGG